rnacentral:rRNA from 1 species
CAGUCGACGGUCUCUUCGGAGAUAGUGGCGGACGGGUGAGUAACGCGUGAGAAUCUAGCUUCAGGUCGGGGACAACCACUGGAAACGGUGGCUAAUACCGGAUGUGCCGAGAGGUAAAAGGCUUGCUGCCUGAAGAUGAGCUCGCGUCUGAUUAGCUAGUAGGUGUGGUAAGAGCGCACCUAGGCGACGAUCAGUAGCUGGUCUGAGAGGAUGAUCAGCCACACUGGGACUGAGACACGGCCCAGACUCCUACGGGAGGCAGCAGUGGGGAAUUUUCCGCAAUGGGCGAAAGCCUGACGGAGCAAUACCGCGUGAGGGAGGAAGGCUCUUGGGUUGUAAACCUCUUUUCUCAGGGAAGAAAAAAAUGACGGUACCUGAGGAAUAAGCAUCGGCUAACUCCGUGCCAGCAGCCGCGGUAAUACGGAGGAUGCAAGCGUUAUCCGGAAUGAUUGGGCGUAAAGCGUCCGCAGGUGGCAAUGUAAGUCUGCUGUUAAAGAGUGAGGCUCAACCUCAUAAGAGCAGUGGAAACUACAUAGCUAGAGUGCGUUCGGGGCAGAGGGAAUUCCUGGUGUAGCGGUGAAAUGCGUAGAGAUCAGGAAGAACACCGGUGGCGAAAGCGCUCUGCUAGGCCGC